rnacentral:rRNA from 1 species
AUUGAACGCUGGCGGCAUGCCUUACACAUGCAAGUCGAACGGCAGCACGGGAGCAAUCCUGGUGGCGAGUGGCGAACGGGUGAGUAAUAUAUCGGAACGUGCCCGGUCGUGGGGAUAACGUAGCGAAAGCUACGCUAAUACCGCAUACGAUCUACGGAUGAAAGCGGGGGACUCGCAAGAGCCUCGCGCGAUUGGAGCGGCCGAUAUCAGAUUAGGUAGUUGGUGAGGUAAAGGCUCACCAAGGCGACGAUCAGUAGCUGGUUUGAGAGAACGACCAGCCACACUGGAACUGAGACACGGUCCAGACUCCUACGGGAGGCAGCAGUGGGGAAUAUUGGACAAUGGGCGAAAGCCUGAUCCAGCAAUGCCGCGUGAGUGAUGAAGGCCUUAGGGUUGUAAAGCUCUUUUACCCGAGAUGAUAAUGACGGUACCGAGAGAAUAAGCCCCGGCUAACUCCGUGCCAGCAGCCGCGGUAAAGUG